GGGGAAUUUUGGACAAUGGGGGCAACCCUGAUCCAGCCAUGCCGCGUGAGUGAAGAAGGCCUUCGGGUUGUAAAGCUCUUUCGGCGGGGAAGAAAUGGCAACGGCUAAUAUCCGUUGUUGAUGACGGUACCCGCAUAAGAAGCACCGGCUAACUACGUGCCAGCAGCCGCGGUAAUACGUAGGGUGCGAGCGUUAAUCGGAAUUACUGGGCGUAAAGCGUGCGCAGGCGGUUUCGUAAGACAGACGUGAAAUCCCCGGGCUCAACCUGGGAACUGCGUUUGUGACUGCGAGGCUAGAGUACGGCAGAGGGGGGUAGAAUUCCACGUGUAGCAGUGAAAUGCGUAGAGAUGUGGAGGAAUACCGAUGGCGAAGGCAGCCCCCUGGGUUAGUACUGACGCUCAUGCACGAAAGCGUGGGGAGCAAACA
rnacentral:rRNA from 1 species